GAUUAUGUAGUUUAUAAAUCAUGAUGCUGUUAACUUCAAGAAGAUGAUAAUUCUGUGAUCG
rnacentral:tRNA from 1 species